AAUCACACAUGGUCAGUCCCUAGGGUGAGCUAGGAAAAUAUUGGCAAAUAGCCUUCAACUCUUGGCCUAAGGUGGUCUCUGCUGUACGACAUUGAUACCUGAAUGAUUGGCUGAGAUGAUCGAACAGAUAUUUAUUACAAAUCCACUUGAAUUUUGUGAAGGCUCCCGGAACGAGUGACUGCUGGCCCGGAUCUCAGUCUUGAGCAGAAAACAGUUAGGGUGCCAGAGGAAAAGUGAGGUACCCAAGGUUUGACUCCUUGCGGGGCAAGUUUCUUAUGUCCUCUGAGACUUUCCUCAUCCGCAAAGUGGAAAUUUUAGUAAAACUUCUUGGCUGCACCCUGGGAAGAUUAAAUGAAGGAAUACCCAAAAAAGCACGCAGCAUGUUAGCUGGCCAAGCAGCAGCGGUUCAAUAAAGGGUAUUUCUUGCCCUGAAUCCCUCUUUCCCAGUUAUACAGCAACACAGAGAAACGUGCAGGCACAAAUCUUUUAAAAUAUUUUUAACUCAACUACAUUGUUGCCUAAAACACUGCUUUGUUAGUUUAAUGCAGAUGUCACAGCAGCCAUCAGUUCCAAAGACCAACUGAUUCAAGACAGUUCUGUAAUCCUGAGGUCUGAGGAGGGAAGGCGGGGUUGCAAGCUCUCCUCAGACUCCAUUGGGCAAGUCUGACAGAAGAAAAUACAUUUUUUACAUAUAAUCUGUAGGUUUUAGAAACAUUUAUAAUUUUUUAAAAUAAAAGGCCAUGUUAAGUUGAAGAUGUGAUUUUUUUUAAAAAUGUUCUUCCAAAAUAGCUAGUAUUCUGCAAACUCAUUCAACGAAGUUGUUUAUUCUCCAAAGUGCUGCCCAUAUUGGUAUCACACCUGUUUAACCACACCGAUAAGCAACCUGGAAACUCACUGUUAGCGCAGAGGACUUUGGACUUUGUGGAAAUGAACAAACUGUAACAUCUACUUAUUGCCAACGCGUCGGUGGUGAUUGUGCUUAGAAACCAUUUUUCCAAAUUUGCUUUGCACCUAAAGAUUACCUACAACUGGUGGUAAUGUUAAAAUACUACAGCUUCCUAGCUGGUAGGUAAAGAAGUGCUGAAUAUCACUUUGAAAAACAGGUGCGGGCUGGGGAUGUAGCUCAGUGGUUCUGCCACCUGCUUCACAAGCUCAAGGACCCGAGUUCAAUCCCUGGUACCAAAAAAAAAAAAAAAAGAAAAAGAAAGAAAGAAAAACAGGUGUAUAAUUAAUUAGUUUUACUUUUUAAAAAUAAAGGUGCCCCUUUGAGAAAUAUUCUAGCACAAAUACAUAAUAAAAUCGCAAUAUCCAUACACAAAAGUAAACUUUCACAUUAAGGUGAGGAGGAGUCAUUCUAAUUCUGUGAUUAAAAGUUAUUGGAUUGGAAAAAGGUUAUUUUAAUAAAAUCAAGGACAUAUUAAAAUGUACAGUAUAGAGUGAUUCUUAAAGUGCCCAUCACUCAACUGUAACAUCAGCCUCAGUCAAGCCUGCCCCAUCCACACCCUUUUCAAACACACUUCCCCCUGCCCACUGUUUUUUGUUUUGUUUUGUUUUUGAGAUGGUCUAAAUCACUAAAUUAUCCGAGAACUUGCAAGCCUUCCACAUAAGCCUUCCAGGCAUGUGUCACCACACCCAGCUCCUAUAUUAUUUUGAAGUAAAAUCCAGACAUAUAACUUCACCUGUAAACAUUUCUGUACUUGUCUCUAAAGAGUAACUACUAUCUUGUCAAAAUAAGCACAACACCAUCACCACACCUAAAAGAACAGUUUCUCAGGUCAUCAAAUAACCAGGCAAUGUUCAAAGUUCCAGUUGUCUCAUACUACCAAAACUUUUUUAAAAAAAAUCAAGACCCCAUUAAGUACAAGCUUUGUGAUUGACUGAGGUUUUUGGAGUGUCCUCUUAAUUACAGAGCCUCCUCCAUCUUUGUAUUCUCCCUUGCAAUAAAUUUGUUGCUUGUCCUCAAAAGCGCGCGUGCGCGCGCACACACACACACACUGAGUUUUGUUAAUUGUAUCCUGGGGUGGUGUUUAGUAUCUUUUUCUGUAUUUUAUUUUUGAAAAUUUGUAACUAGGAGCUUGAUCCACAGGUAAGUUUUUAAAUGUUUUGACUUUCAUCCUUUUUCAAUUCAUUCAACUUUUACCUAAUACCUACUAUGAAUUUGUAACUGUAGGCUGCUAUGGAAACAAAACUGCAUCAGGAAUGUAGGUAAGAGUGAAGGAAAUACACGUAGACAGAAUUAGAAUCGGUGUUAUUGUGUUAAAGCCUAAAAUGGGGCUUAAGAAGCCCUGUGGUGGUGGCAACUAGCUUUCCAGAGAGAACAGGGAGGAAGGCUUUACUGAGAUGACUCAGGAACUAGAAUUGGAAAAAGGUAGAACAGGGACAGAGGGAGAGAGGAAGGGCAGGCAAUUUCCGGUCCAAGGGAUCAGCAUAUGCAAAUAUAAGAAACGAGCUGGAGAUUUAGCUCAGUGGUUCCAGCAACUGCCUCAAAAGUGCAAGGUCCCGAGUUCCAUCCCCGGUACGAAAAAAAAAAAAACCAACAAAAAAACAAAAAACACAGCUGAAAGAUCUGGCUGCCUCAGGUAGGAUUACUGAUGACAGUGUCUCUGAAAUGGAUAAAAAUAUCCUAAACUCCCUCUCUUCCCUAUUGCUAACUCCAGGAAAAUUGCCUGCUUAGUUCCUGCCUCCUUGGACUCUGGAGGAGCGUAUGGCUUUUAGAAGGAGUUAGUCAUCCGGGCAGAGGGGAGGAGUCCCAGGAUAGCAGAGAAAGACUGACAGCAGACGAGAGGCCGGAGCUGAGCGCUCCGGAACAACGCUUUGGGCAGCGCCCAGCUGGCCUAGUUGGUGACUGGGGCCUUUGGCACACGCAGAGGGGAAUCGUUUACACACGUAUAAUUCACCGGCAGCCUCUGGUAGGUAAGAUGUCCUGGGAGGGCGCUUCAUCCUCAUUUCCUCAGUCCCCUGGGCACGUUUUCCUCACCCCUCCUGCUUCCCCUUCCCCAGCAACCGUGACCGUGAUCGAUAAAUACGAGGGCAGAAUCUGAUUCUGCAAAUACGAGGAGAUGCCUGGGGGAGAAAGUGGCAAGAGGGGUCGGGUGAGAGGAGCAGACACCUCCCGAGAGGACACUCCCAACAGUCCCAGGCUGCCCUCCUGCGACGACACUCCCGUCCCUCUCCUGACUGGCAAACUCCGGCUCAUUUUCAAGCCAGCUCAGGGCCACUGCCCCUGCCCCUCGCAGCCCUUCAGCAUGCCCAGGUGGGACGGGCCGCCUCCCUUACUUCACUCGUGCAGCACGUGCACGGUCUUUGUCCCUGCUCUCACCCCUCUGUACCAUCGUCUGCUUGGGCCUUCUAGCUUCUGUAUUUGACCCCUUUUAUAGGGAUGUGGCCCAUUCUUCAAGUUUCUGUGCCUAGUCUAGCACCACUACCCAAAGACACGUCGUGGACAUUUGUUUGGCGACUAGUUGAAAAUAAUAAAAGGUUUGGCCUGCAUGCUUUGCCUAUCUUUUUUUCCCCUCCCAGUUAGAAGAGGGUUUAGCAGAUGAUGAUCUAGAAAAAAUGUCCAGCUUGACUUGUGGAAUACGGCCUAAAAUUGAGGCCCAGUAUUAUGUAUACCCCAACAUCUGGGGAAACCAAGGGAGUCUCAAAUGGCCUAGUGCAAAGUUCUCUUCCCCUCUGCUCCAGUGGACAAAGGGAUAAGGUCCCCGAGCCAAACAACCCUCCUCAUUGAGUGGACCAGGUACUGUGCCUGCUCACCCAGAAAACUGGCUUUCAGGUCCUGUCAGCCUGUGGAAUUCAAACAGGCCAGUCACCUCCUCCCAUGGAAACCACAGGUUCCUUACCUUUUAGAUACUACAGAGCCUGCUUCCCAUAGCCCCUACUGCUCAUUCUGUGUCCACAUCAGCCACCAUUUUGCUUGUGUGGGUAUCCCUUCUCCCCCACUAUGAGUAUAUAAGCAACUAAUAAACCACCGUCAAGCUCGCCUGGCCAAUCCCAUGAGCCCAAUGGGGAAAUCCGUCCAUACCAAUGUGGUAAAACAGGAGGUGACUGAAACCAUUGGUUCUCAGAGGAAUGGCAGGGAUGGGGGACAUGGAGGCCAGGCAGGGCUCUAGAAGACCUAGCAGUCUUAUUUCACAUCCAUCAUGAGUCUUACGUCAUGCAGGGCUUCUGCAUCCCUGAGGUAGUACUGAUAAUCCAUACGUGGUUCACAAUGGUAUUGAAAAAAGCCCGACCUGAAUGUGCAUUUAUGAAGUAAAGCCUGCCUAGGUUUAUAAAUAAAUGCUACAUGUUGAGUAGGCCAGCUAUUUCAUAAUGAGGCACAGAGUUGAAACGUUAACUUUUUAAAACGUCUUUAAUAAGGACCUUCUGGCUUAAACUAAGCUAAAUGUUUUGGGAUUAUUAAAUUCUCAGCCUUGAGCUGAUUCCUUUGAAUCCCAUUGUGUUUUUGUCUUUAACCCAACUGAAAGCAUUCAGUAAUCAAAGCCCUAACCAGCUGAGGUAAUGCAAACAAGAGCAAGUUUUUUUGGCUGGAAUUAUUUCCAUGAAUGUGCCACUUUCCACCUGGAGUUAGUGUUGGGCCUGUAGUUAUGCCGGAACUGCAUUUCACAUUUGUAAAAGAACAAGCUCCUUCCUACCAACAGCUAUGAGACAUAAGCCACAAAUCGAAGACUCACGUCAGUAUCCCCCUUCCUCAUUUAAUAGAAUGUUUACUACUUAAUUUUUAAAUAUAGGUAUUAGAAAAACAGGGAAACCACCCAAAACAUGAAAAUCCCAAGCUUCAGAAAUCUGUAAGGAGGAUGUUUUCUUGAAAAAACCUUAUCCCGUUGAAUCAUUCAAUUUUCACAUGUGACUUUCUGCAGAAAAAAGUUCAGAUUCCAUUCUCAGUUCAAAUCCAUUGUUCUCUAGGUAAUUGCCCCAGACCAGCAGGGUAUUACUCUCUGAUGUACCAGCAAGCAAAUAAUUUCAGCUGACAGCAUUCUGGCAUCUCUUGUAGUUUUUAAAACGUUCUUUGGUAUCCAAAGAAGUUGAAUACAUCUGAUAAAUGUCUGAGACACUUGGAUAAAGUUCAAAUUGCUUUUUUGAGCAAAGAAAGUAUGUUAAAAGUGGACUCUCUUCACUUUUUAAAAAUUCCCUACAUGCUACAUUUGCAUGCUGUAUUACUAUUGGUUGCAAUACUAUUUCUUAGUUCAAUUCUACCUACUCUAUGAAGCACUUUAUAAAACCUGGCAACAAUUCUCACUUUACAAGUUUAUUAACUUUGUAAAAUUUAAUAAUGCCUCAAUAGUUCCAUAGCCCUCCAUGUCCUUUCCUGCCAAGGCCCUGAGAAACUCAAAAUAGCACUGUGGAAAACAGGUGGCUAUGGCAUAGCUGCUCUUCUUCCCCCCGCCCCUCAGUGUUCUAUUUAUAAACACUGCUCCAGUCACCUGGAUUAGACACACCAACUCAGAGCAGUUAGUGUCUCAGGAUGAGGAACAGAGCACAACAGUCUCUGCUCCUAACUUUUCACACUAAGGGCUAGGGAUGUAGCUCAGUGGCAGAGCAUUUGACUAGCACGUAGAAGACCCUCAGUUUGAGCCCCAUCACAAAACAGACAAAAACCCUAAAAGCUUAUAAAGUGCAAAAGGACACUAACAGUUCGUGUGGCCCAGCUCUUAUAUGUAGGGGAGUCUUGUUGAUGCGAGCCUAGGGUGUCCUUUCCCUGAUUUCAGAGGGUUUGGGAGGAAUGACAGCAAGGCUGUGGUUAGUCUAGAUUCCAAUCCUAGUUUUGUUACUGACUCCCUAAGUUGGCAAGUUGCUCUCUCUGGGCCUCUCUUUCCUUAUUUGUAGGACAUUGGACCAGAAGAUCUUCUAAUGUCCUUUCAGAUCUAAGCUUUCACAUAUGGUUAUUUCUGAAGAUGGUCUCAACAAUCCUUCCCAUUUCCGAUCUUAUUUUUAAGAUAUUUACCUAAUUACUGUAAAAUCAUGCACUUUCACAAACGUGUACAUCUCUGUAUAUAUUACCACUCAAGGUGUGGGGUAUAGCCACUACGCCCUCAAUUUCCCUCAUCCCCCUUUGCUAGCAAUCCCUUCUUUCCAGCCUUGAGCAACCAGUGAUUUACUUUCCGCCACUAUCUAUUAGUUUGCCUUUUCUAGAAUUUCAUAUAAUCAAACAAUGCACUCUUUUGUGGCUAGCUUUUUUUUGUACCGGGGAUUGAACCCCGGGUCCUUGCACUUACAGGGCAGACAGAACCACUGAGCUAAAUCAAAUCCCCAGCCCUGUCUGGCUUCUUUUACUCAGCCUAACCGUGCCCCCUUUUUUUUUUUUGCAGCGAGCUUGUACCCUUCUCCCCUCAAGAGUAGAGUAGGUUUCCCAUCACUUUGAACCCAGGCUGGCCCAGUGACUUGCUUUAACUGACACCACAGAAGGCUGCGUGACCCUUUUCACGCUCUCACAAACGUAUCACGUGAAAAAUGCUCAAGCUGGGCUACUUUCUCAAGACCAGAGGGAUGGGAGGGCAGGAACCAGCCCACCAGCUGAGCUCGAACCUGGCCAAGGGGUGAUAAGAAUGAAAAAUAGAGACACAGAAACAGGUUAAAAUCUGGGAGGCCAGAGAGCUCACGUCUCCCUUCGAUAUAGAGCCGCAAGCCACUGGCCACCUUGGCUUUAUUCACCCAGACACGGGCAGAGCAAUUACAGUUCACAGAAUCCAUCUGUCUCCACCCCCACGGUACUUCUCCGGGUAAACAACCUACCCUCCGGUGUUUCUACUUCUCCCUGCGGCGUGUUAGCUCGCUUGGAUCCCCCUUUUCCUCUCAGUGCUGGCCGAAGAGGCCAAUUAGGCCUCAGUCUUCCCACCUGGUCGCCACACGGGGUGGGAGGGGUCCCAGGGGUCCCACCCAGCGGCACCGGGCCCAGAUGAAGAUGUCUUAGAUCUUCCAGCUGAGGCACCCCCGUCAACACACGGAGCGGAAACAGCCAUCCUCACUCACCCAUCCGCACCUCUAACCCAGAGAACUAUCCAGUGUUCUGGCAUUUGAAUUACAAUAUGUUCUGAAGAAAAGAAUGCAGAGUUUGGAAGCCACGCGCCUUCACUUCAUAUACCUCAUGAGCUGUAUGGUUCUGGGCAUGUUUGAAAGCUUCCUGCUCCUGAUUUCCUCCAUUUAAAAUAGAAGUAUUUCCUGGGAUGGUAGACAGCACAAAGUGCAAGAACAAAUGGAAAAUUUAUACAAAAACAAAAGCACUUCAUUUCUAUAACCCUGGCAGGUCCUCUGUAUUUGCAUGCCAUGUGUGUCAGGUUUUCUGUCAUAGGCUUGAACUUUCAAAAUAUAUCUGCCUAUCGAUCUGGAAGACAAGACAAACAGUAUUUCUGUCCUAUGGCUUUUUGUCGAGAAAAGUGAGAUUUGAGCAUGAGAGAUUUUGCUAUUCUCCACAUGGUAUUUUGUUGUGGGCUACUACAAGACCCACAGGGAAAAUCCACAUGAAGGAGACAUUAUCAUAGGGGGUUGAAAGCUGAAGUUUAUAUAAAGAAAUGCUUUGGCUUGGGGGUUCAUAUAGAGCUUAGGACUGCUAGCUCUACCAAUGAAAGAAUUAUGGUAGUUUUAUGUCCCUCCUCAAAUACAAUUUGAAAUAUUUUUAAAAAUCACACUUUGGAGGACAUCAUGUUAAGUGAAAUAAGCCAGGCACAUGAAGCAAAUACUCCAUGUUCUUGCUCAUUUGUAGAAACUAAAAAAUUGGUAUCAAAAAAGUGGAAUAGAGACCAGGAAGGAGAUGAAGAACAAUGCAGAGAGAUUAGAUCGGGGAGAAAACACAGUCACAUAGAAGAAAUUAGUUCUGGUGUUCAAUAGUCUAAUAGGCUACAAAAAUCUGUAUUUUCAAAUAACUAGAAAAGCAUGAGUUACCAAUACGUAGAAAUGAUUGAUGAUAUAGAAAAUAGCAUGAUUUGGUCAUUAAACAUUGUAUACAUGUAUCAAAAUUGUACAGUACUCCACAAAUACAUACAAAUAUUAUGUGUCCAAAAAUAAGCUUUAAAAAUCACAACAAACCCUAAAGGUAAUGAAGCCCAAGUUUCUGAUUUGCCCCAUAAGUACUUCAAAGCUUUGUGUGAAAUACCAAAUCUUUCCAAUUUUUUUCUUGAUGUCCUAAACAGUGGCUCUCAAAGUAUGUUCCCUAAACCAGGAGCAACAGCUUCACCUGUGGCCCUGUUAGAAACACUAAUUGAGGCCUCACCCCCAAAUUUACUGAAGAAACUUGGGGGUGCUAGAUUCAGCAGCACAUACACUAAAAUUGCAAUGAUACAGAGAUUAGAGUGGACCCUGAGCAAGGAUGAGAUGCAAAUUCAUGAAGCAGUCCAUAUUUUUCGGGAAAUAAGAAAAUGUUAAAAGGGGAACUAGGAGGGAGCCGAGGGAAAGAAAAACUGAGAAGGAAAAAAUGGAGACAAGGCUUUUGUAAAUAUGGAGGGAUGGAGGAGCUGAAGGGAGGGAAGAGGAAUGGGGAAAAAGUAAGAACCAAGAUACACCUUAUACAGCUGGGGAUGUAGCUUAGCACCUGCCUGGCAACCACAAGAUCCUGAGUUUGAUCCCUGGCACCAAAACAAAAACAAGAUAUAUCAUAUACAGACACAAAUUCCCUAUGAUGCAUGUGAUCAUAAUUUACACCUAAAAUGCACCAAUAAACUUAAUUAGAAAAAAAAAACCCUCAGAGGUCUCUCCUAGAAUGUUUUAACAAGUCCUUCAGGUUUGAGAACCGCUGCUUUAAACAUAAUUUGGGCUGCUCAUUACCUCGUCUCUCAAACUAGCUGUUCAUUAGAAUCUCCUGAGAAGCUUUAUAGAAAUAGCAAUACUGGGAUUCUAACUCCACAGAUUCUAAUUUGAUUGGUCAGGGGCAGGCCAGCCAAUCAGCAUUUUUAAAAAGCCUCCUGAGUGAUUUCAGCAUUAAAAACCACUAGCAUGUGGGUAAUCUGACCUCUAGGCUUGAGCAAUCGAGGGGUCAGAAGGCCAGCUUGCUUGAAAGUAGGGAUAGUUCAAAAGCAUGUUUAAGCAAGUUUAAGAUAAAUUUAAACGUGAAAUGGAGAAGGGAAAGAAUUAUAAACCACAGCCUCAGGGAUUAUUUGGGUGUAGUGAGCAUUUUAGAUUGAAGGAAAGGGGAAUUUUUUUAAAUUGAUGGAAGUGUCAAAGAGUACAACUGAGAUAAAUUGAAAUUGAAAAUUCUUUCUGGGGCUGUUGUACACUAGGACCCUGUCAUACAUUUAUACUGAGCUUAAAAUAAUCCUAGAGACAUCUCUAUUCUUUUAAAAAAUGUUUAAUUUUGCAGUUCUCCACAUUGCUUUGUGGUAUGCAACUGUAAAAUUGGUUAGGGUCAUGCAAAAUGUGAAAUCUGAUUGGAUAGUAAUUAUCUUCAUUUACACAACACCCAACUGAAGGAAAUAACGAUCAUUUUUAGACUUUACAAAAUACAAGCUAAAAGUGAAAUUCUGCUAAAGUUAAUUUUAUAAAGAUUCUGAUUUUAUUUCUUUUUUUUUUGUUUAUAACUUGGAUGAGUUGGAACAAAAAAAUAGAAAAGUUUUGAAAGAAAUGGUGAAGGGACUCUAGCAAAGAAGGUGGCAGCAAAUGAAUGAGAAAAAUGACAGACGGCCGGGGAUUUAGCUCAGUGGUUCUGCCGCCCGCCUCAAAAGCACAUGGUCCCGAGCUGGAUCCCCGGUACUAAAAAAAGCAAUGCAAACCCAUACUGUCAAUAUACUUAUUGUACUUACUGGAUGAACAAAUGACCUCCAAAGAUAGGUCUAGUUUUGCAUGUUAGGAUGCUAUAAUGACUGAGGCAUUAGUAACGAAAUCAAACUUUUCUCGAAAAACACUCCCCAGACGUGUUUCCAAGUACUGCACCCAGCACCUCCCUGUAGGUAUUCUGAAAGUCCCUGAGCUCUCUGUCUUGCUUUCGGGCAGCCACCCACACUCCCACAUACUGAAGGAGAGGUAUCUAUCUGAGGGUCUAUGAAGAAAGGACUUUCAUUUGUUCAUAAGUUUUGGGCAGGUUCACCUCGGAGAAUCAAUCCCUAGAAUGAAGGGGAAAGCAACCAAAAAGAGCUCCAUUCUUUCAUCCUUUGGAAAAUGGAGUGGAAAGAGUAACUGCCUCUUACUGGUCCUUAAUGGGUUACUGCUCCAAAAUCAAAUGAGCAAGUUGGGAGAGACGAGUUUUCGCAGUGUCUUGUGGCUCUGCGCUCACCCACAGUACCCUCGAACAAAGCGCCCCGUUUGGCUUCUGUUUGCUGCGUCAGCGAGUACGCAGAGCCGCCUCCCCUACGCUGCCAGGUACUAAGCUCCAGGACCAACACCCACCAAUUCUCUGCUCUCGGGUUUGUGCCGAGAGAAGCCGACGGACAGACAGGAGGAAAAAGACGACGUCGUGAGAACUCGGACAACCUGGUCUCGUGCAAAAUUUUACAUCAGAAACAUAAACGCGAAGGAAGAAGAUACUAAAGGGGAAGUCGCCUACUGCCGCCUCUAAGGCUCAAUCCGAGCGAGAGCCAACCGACCAGGACACAAAACGGAAACCCGAGGGUCGCCCCGCUCCGCGACCCCGCCCCAUCUUUGUUCCCCUCGCGCUGGCCACGAGGCUCCAGACGCCCUCGCGACGCGGACACGCGCAGCAGCCAGCGCCCCGCCGCCCUCUCCU
rnacentral:lncRNA from 1 species